rnacentral:lncRNA from 1 species
UUUUUUUUUUUUUUUCUGUGAAAUAGCUAAAAUUCCCAGGAUACCUAUUUGAAAAGCAAGCAUCAUUGUGUAAAAGCAGAAAACCCUCUUUGAUUCACUCAUGAUAAGAAUUUUUUCUAUAAAUUUUACUCUUCUUAAUUGGUAUUCUUUUGCAAAGUGACAGAGGAAAACAGAGACGGAGACGGAGACAGAGAGACAGAGUCAAGGUAUUUAUUCAUUGUUGAUGACUAAUUUUUUUAAAAAAAUAUUCUCUGCUAUUAAAUAUGAGGAGCAUUUGAAAAAAUAUAUAUUUCUAUUAAAGCAGAGAUCCUUAAGUUUGUAUCUUCAGUCAGUCCAGAGCUUCAUGGAAAUAUGAAAUCCAUGAGCUUAUAAAAAAUAUUACACAUUUGUUUUCAUCAGUCUUUUACUGAAAUUUAGCCUUUAUUAUUAUUAUUUUUUAAUUUAGAAGUGUGGAUAAAAAAUCACAGCAGUAUUUGAAGUACUUUGUUAUCCACAGAAAUCACACAUGAUUUUCUUUUCCUUUCCCAUUAGAGAUAUUGUAUACAUGUUUAAUUUUACAUUCAGCACUACUUCGUAAUCAUAAUUAUUAGAUUCCUUCCUGCUAAAACAUAUUAAUGCAUUUAAUAAUGAGGCACUCAUCUUAGCACACCAAUUUUAAGUCUUUUAUAACUUUAUUUCUGCAUAUCUGUGUUUCUUUUUGCUUGGAACAUUUUACUUUAAGGAUUUAAAAAUGUCCUGAGAAAGAAAUGGAAAGUGUCAUACAAUUUAAAAGAUCUCAUAAAUAAGUAAAUAAGUAAAUAAAUAAAUAAAUAUGAUCACCCAGGAAAAACUUUGAAAGUCUAAGGAAUCUAACUUAGAUUCUUGAUAUUCUUUUAAAAAGGUGUAGUGUAAAUUACAAUUUUUUGUAUAGUGAAUCCAAUCCAGUUCCGAAAGACUUUUCUCUCUCUCUCUCUCUUUUUUUUUUUUUUUUAAAUGCCCCAUCCAUAGCAUAUAGACGUUCCUGGGCCAGGGAUUGAAUCCAACUGCAGCAACACUGGAUCCUUUAACCCACUGCGCUAGGUUGGGGAUUGAAUCUGCUCCUCCAGAGCCACCAAGCCCCUGCAGACUUGCACUGGAAUUAACCCAUCGUGCCACAGCAGGAACUUGAAGAAAAACUUUUUAUUUGUUGUUAUUCAUUCCAUAAAUAUUCAUUAGGCAUCUGCCAAUUGUCUAGCAUGGUUCUAGUGUCUAGAAAAAAAUUAUGGUGAACAAAAUAGACACAGACUCUAUUGACUUUGCAAUUCUGAUUUUUGUAUUUUAGUAUAAGAAACAAAAAUACUAUAAUAAAGUUGGACUCACAUUAAUUGACUCCAACUCUUAUAAAGCUGCAAUAAUUAAGACACAUGGAAUUAUCAAAAAGACUAAAACUUAGAUUAAUGGAACAGAAUAAAGAUUCUAUAAAUAGGCCCAUCCAUACAGAGCCAACAAUUUUACAGAAGCAAUGCAAAUGGAGAAACAAUAUCUUUUCAACAGAGGGAGCUAAGACAAUUCGAUACCAUAUACAAUAAAAUAAAAUAAAUAUAAAACCAUUAAUCCAAAGUAGGUCAUAGACAAAUUUAAAUGGUGAAAGUUUAAAAUUUUUAAAAGAAAACAUAUGAUAUAAUCUUUGUGCAUUUGCAUGUAUAAUGAUAUCAUUGCAAUUUUAACUUGCAAUUUCCUAUGGCUAAUGUGACUGAACUUCCUUUUAUAACUCAUUUGCCAUUUAUAUGUCUUCUUUCAUCAAUUGUCUGUUCAAGACUUUUGUCCAUUUUAAACUGGAUCAUUUUGUAUCUUAUUAUAGAGUUUUGAGAAUAUUUGAUAUAUUUUGGAUAUAAGUCCAUGAUGAGAUUAGUGUUUUAUAAGUAUUUUUCCUCCAGUCAAUGAUCUGUCAUUUUAUUUUAUUUUAUUUAUUUUAUUUUAUUUUAUUUUAUUUUAUUNGCUUCCUGCGGCAUAUGGAGGUUCCCAGGCUAGGGGUCUAAUUGGAGCUAUAGCCGCUGGCCUACCAGAGCCACAGCAAUGCAGGAUCUGAGCCGCAUCUGUGACCUACACCAGAUCCCUAAACCACUGAACAAGGCCAGGGAUCGAACCUGCAACAUCAUGGUUCCUAGUCAGAUUCAUUAACCACUGUGCCAUGACAGGAUAUUUAUUCUCUUCAAAUUUGUUUUGCUUGUUCUAGUUCCAUUCCUUUUCUAGAUCAAAGUUAAAAUUAUUUUUUUUGAUUUCAAAAAACAAAGAAAAAAACAAAUGGAACAAACCUGUAUUUUUAUUGGAUUUGCAUUUAAUCUAUAGAACCGCUCUUUUAACAUUAUUGAAUCUUCCAAUCUAUAACAAGGUUUUACUUAGAUAUUCUUUGAUUUCUCUCAUCUGUAUUUUGUACUGUAUGAUUUCUAAAUAAGAGCACUAGGCAUGGAAAUAUUUGCUUUUUUCCUGAUCUUUGUAGGGAGGGAUUUAAUCUUUCAUUGUUAGAUGUAAUGUAAGUUGUAUGUUUGUGGUAGACUCUUUUGGCUUUUUAUUAAGUUAAUUCUGGUAUUAAAAAAAUUAAUUGAACAGUGGCUCCUUUGCUUUUAUUUUCUGGAGGGUUUUUUGGCAUUUAUAUUCCAUCUGGGCCUAGAGAUAACUUCGUUAGAGAUAAUGGUUAAUAAUUAUUCACAUUUUGUAAUAGAUUUAGGACUACUCAGUCACAUCUAUUUCUUCUUGAAUAUGCUUCUUGAAUAAUGUUUGCCUUUCCAUUAAUUUGCCAUUCCACCUUAGUUGUCAAAGUUAGGGCCAAACAAUUAUUCUAAUAGUCUAUUUUUAAUCCUUUAGAUGUCUUGAUGACCUGUAAUAAUGGCUUCUUUUAUACCUGAUAUUGGUAAUUUAUGUAUGUUCUUUUCUCUCGUUGGUUGGAUUAUAUGAUUAUUAAUUUCAUUGAUCUUUACAAAUAACUAAAUUUUGGUUUCAUUUUCUCUAUUUUUAUUUUCCUAUUUUUUUAUUUCUUCUUUUUUCUACAUUAUUUUAAUACUUCCACUUGAUUCAGAUUUAAUUUUUUCUUCUUAAAAUUUCUUAAAGUGGACAUAAAAAUCUUUAUUUAAAUUCUAACUAUGUGGCCUUAAUGAUAUAAACCUAAGUAUUGUCUUUCUGACCCAUGUAAUUUAACAAUGAAUUGUUCAAUUUAUAUUUUUUUUCAAGAAUUUUCAGAUCUUUCUGAUUUUAAUCUCAAGUUUAAUUCUGUUAUAAUUAGACUACUACUUGACAUUAUUUUAAUUAUUUUCAAAUUUUAGAAGCUUCUUAAUAUUUGGCCAAGAAUACAUCUACCUUGUUGAAACUGAUCUGUGCACCUAAAAUGAAUAUAUAUUUUGAUGUUUUCAGUGAGUGUUUAAUAAAUAUUCAUUAGGUCAAACUGGUUGAGAAUUUUGGUGGAUCUUCUGUAUUCUUACUAAUGUUUUUUCUACUUGUUCUAUCAAUUACUGAAGGAGAGGUAUUCAAGUCUUCAACUAUAAUUGCAUAUUUGUCCAUUUCUUUUUUUUUCCUUUUAAUGAUUUUUAUUUUUUCCAUGAUAGUUGGUUUACAGUGUUCUAUCAGUUUUCUACUGUGCAGCAAAUUGACUCAGUCACACAUACAUAUAUACAUUCUUUUUUCUCCCAUUAUCAUGCUUCAUCAUAAGUGACUAGAUAUAGUUCCCAGUUCUAUAGAGCAGGAUCUCAUUGCUUAUACAUUCCAAAGGCAAUAGUUUUCAUCUAUUAACCCAAAAUUUCCAGUCCAUCCCACUCCCUCCACCUCCACCUUGGCAAAAACAAGUCUGUUCUCCAUGUCCUUGAUUUUCUUUUCUGUGGAAAGGUUCAUUUGUGCCAUAUAUUAGAUUACAGAUAUAAGUGAUAUCAUACAGUAUUUGUCUUUCUCUUUCUGACUUACUUCACUUAGUAUGAGAGUCUCUAGUUACAUUCAUUUUGUUGCACAUGACAUUGUUUUGUUCUUUUUUGUGACUGAGAAUAUUCCAUUGUGUGUAUGUACCACAUCUUCUUAAUCCAUUCAUCUGUCAGUGGACAUUUAGGUUGUUCCCAUGUCUUGACUGUUGUGAAUAGUGAUGCAAUGAACAUGCCAGUGCAUGUGUCUUUUUCAAGGAAAGUUUUGUCCAGAUAUAUGUCCAAGAGUGGGAUUGCUGGGUCCUAUGGUAGUUCUAUGCAUAGUUUUCUAAGGUACCUCCAUGCUGUUUUCCAUGGUGGUUGUACCAAUGGUANUAGUCCCACCAACAGUGCAGGAGGGCUCCCUUUUCUCUACACCCUCUUCAGUAUUUGUUCUUUGUGGACUUUUUCAUGAUGACCAUUCUGACUGGUGUGAGAUGGUACCUCAUAGUAAUUUUGAUUUACAUUUAUCUAAUAGCCAGUGAUGUUGAGCAUUUUUUUUUUUUUCAUGUGCUUGUUGGCCAUCUGUAUAUCUUCCUUGGAGAAAUGUCUGUUCAGGUCUUUCACCCAUUUUUUCCAUUGGGUUGUUGGCUUUUUUUUGCUGUUGAGUUGUGUAAGUUGCUUGUAUAUUCUAGAGAUUAAGCCCUUGUCAGUUGCAUCAUUUGAAACUAUUUUCUCCCAUUCUGUAAGUUGUCUUUUUUUUAUGGUUUCCUUUGCUGUGCAAAAGCUUGUCAGUUUGAAUAGGUCCCAUUGGUUUAUUUUUGCUUUUAUUUCUGUUGCCUUGGGAGACUGAUGUGAGAAAACAUUCUUAAGAUUGAUGUCAGAGAAUGUCUUGCCUAUGUUCUCUUCUAGGAGUUUGAUGGUAUCUUAUGUUUAAGUUUUUAAGCCAUUUUGAGUUUAAUUUUUGUGCAUGGUGUGAGGGUUUGAGUUUCAUUGAUUUACAUGUGGCUGUCCAGUUUUCCCAGCACUAGCUGCUGAAAAGACUUUUUCCCAUUUUAUAUUCUUGCCUCCCUUUGUCGAAGAUUAAUUGACUAUAGGUGUCUGGAUAUAUUCCUGGGUUCUCUAUUCUGUUCCUUUGGUCUGUAUAUCUGUUUUGGUACCAGUACCACACUGUCUUUAUUAAUGCAGCUGAAUUUGAAUUCCAUGUAUGUUGACUAUAUAUUCUUGUCCCAUAGUGCUAUCUAUAGUAGUGUUUCUUUCCCCCCUAGUGUUUCCAUGUUAUCUUUUCUCUACCUCUGUCCAAAUUCUGCAUUUAUUUUCCACAUUCCACUAGGCAGUUUACCAUAUUAAUGAUCAUUGUUUCAUAUCAUCUCUCUGGGUCAUCUCAGUCUGGUCCUAUUGAAUGCUUUGUCUUUUGGUAUUAUUUUUCCCCUUAUUUCUUUCAUGAGUUUUAUAGCUUGUGAUUCAGUCUUUGAACUUUUCAUGCUGAACAGUGGAAGUUGAGUUACAGGCUUAAGAAAAGCUUUGCUUUUUUACUAUAUCUGGAUUUUUAUUGUUGUCUAAGUGGGGGUGAUGGUCUUCCCAGCUUUCCACAUCCUAGAAGAUGUUGAAUGAGAAAGCCAUUUUGAGCAUUGUAGUGACAGGUUCUGAUUUAUCUUUGUUAAAAGACAUCUUGUGCUGCUUUAUGGAAACUGUCAAGUAGAAACUCAAAAAAUAAGUCAGCAGUAUAUUGCAAUAGUUCAGACAAUGUUUCAGUUGUGGAAAGGUGUCAAAUUCAUGAUAUAAUUAAAAACUGAGAGUAUUUUCCCAUGAUUAAGAUUGAUUGUAUGAGAUUAGAGUAAAGAAAAUUCCCAGGCAAAUGUCCUGACUAAUUAGAUAGAUUGUGGUGACAUUUACUGAGA